GUCCUCUAUGGGCCCACCCCGUUCCUUUGUCAGGUCAUCGUGGGUGUCCAACCCAUCAACCGGACAAGGGUCAGGCUGACCACUUCCCUGCAGGGCUAUAUUAUAGCAAUGUCUUGCCAGGGCCUGAUCUCCCUUAACUUCUCCAACCCCCUGGUCAGUAGGAAAUUUCAGUUUCAGACGGUAGGUUGAUACUACAGCCCG
rnacentral:lncRNA from 1 species